GGCUGGUUAGCUCAGUCAGUUGAGCGUGGCACUAACAACACCAAGGUCAUGGGUUCGAUUCCCAUUCAGUUC
rnacentral:tRNA from 1 species